rnacentral:rRNA from 1 species
GCCAGAUCUAGUCCUAACAAUAACUAACUAAACUAUAUAUACACCACCCACAAAACAUUCACAAAUCCUAGUAUAGGUGAUAGAACAGACUUACCCUAGGCACAAUAGAGAAAGUACCGUGAGGGAACGUUGAAAGAUAUUAUCCUACAAGCAACAUAAAGCAAAGAUUGCACCUUGUACCUUUUGCAUAAUGAUUUAGCCAGUCAAAACGGACAAAACGAAUUAAAGCCCGUCCCCCCGAAAUUAAGUGAGCUAUUGUAGAACAGUUACAAGAACGAACUCGUCUGUGUAGCAAAACAGUGAGAUGAUUUUACAAUAGAGGUGAAAAGCCUAUCGAACUUAAUGAUAGCUGGUUGUCCAAAAAACGAAUCUAAGUUCAACUUUAAAUUUAACCCAAGUAUCAAUAAACACAAUUUAAAUUUAAAUGUUAAUCAAAAGAGGGACAACUCCUUUUGAUACGUAGACAAACUUUACUUAGAGGAUAAUGAAAUACACAAAAAACAUUGUAGGCCCAAAAGCAGCCAUCAAUUAAGAAAGCGUUAAAGCUCAAACUUUACCAAUACUUAAUACCCAAUAAUCAAUCAAAAUCCCCUAAACCCAAAUAUUGGACAAUUCCUUUAACUAUUUAAGAAAGAUAUAAUGCUAAUAUGAGUAACCUGAAUAUAUUCUUCCUUGCACAAACAUAAAUACAGAUCGGAACAACCGCUUACACUUAAUCAAACAAAUAAAUAUAAUUACAUACCAGCAACCUACCCAAAAAUAUUGUUAACCCAACCCAGGUGUGCAUAAACAGGAAAGAUUAAAAGGAAUAAAAGGAACUCGGCAAACACGAACCCCGGCUGUUUACCAAAAACAUCACCUCUAGCACUAACCAGUUUUAGAGGCACUGCCUGCCCGGUGAGUUAUGACUUUAACGGCCGCGGUAUCCUGACCGUGCAAAGGUAGCAUAAUCACUUGUCUCUUAAUUGGGGACUAGUAUGAAUGGCAUCACGAGGGCUCAACUGUCUCUUAUUCCCAAUCAGUGAAAUUGACCUUCCCGUGCAGAGGCGGGAAUACUAAUACAAGACGAGAAGACCCUGUGGAGCUUAAGUCAUACAACUCAAAAAAUACUAAUACACACCCAAUGGGUACAAAACGUAUAACUCACUGAGUUAGAGUCUUUGGUUGGGGUGACCUCGGAGCACAAAACAACCUCCGAAUGAAUAUAACCUAGAUUGACCAAUCUAAGUGUAAUACUACCAGUAAUUGACCCAUCUUUUGAUCAACGGAACAAGUUACCCCAGGGAUAACAGCGCAAUCCUAUUUGAGAGCCCAUAUCGAAAAUUAGGGUUUACGACCUCGAUGUUGGAUCAGGACACCCAAAUGGUGCAACCGCUAUUAAAGGUUCGUUUGUUCAACGAUUAAAGUCCUACGUGAUCUGAGUUCAGACCGGAGAAAUCCAGGUCGGUUUCUAUCUGUAAAUUCAUUUCUCCCAGUACGAAAGGACAAGAGAAAUAGGGCCAACGUUCCAAAUAAGCCCUAGAACCAACAUAUGAACCAAUCUUAAUAUAGCAAAAUCAAUUUAUACCUCCCCAAGAAUAGGGUUGUUAAGA